CGUAAUUAGGGGUGUAUUGUAGUGUAGUUUAUCUACAUGUGGCAACAUGUAAGCAAUACCUUUAAUUAGGGGUGAUAGGCCAUUCAAGUUGGUCGAUAACUUGAUUUUGAGGAAAAUUAUCUAGUAAUUUAUGCACCCUUAAAGUGUUAAGGUUUUAAGGGCGCAUAAAAGGGGUUUAACCGCUUACAAGUUAUCUAACGGUAGUUGUUUUGGUGACGAACUAUUAUUUAUCUAGGUUUUGUGCAUACUACUUAAAGCUACCUUAAACUAUUUUUGUGUAUUAUUACUGUUAAUAUUAGUAUUUACGUAAGACACGGGAAGGAACUCGGCAAAUAUUUUACUUAGCUGUUUAUCAAAAACAUAGCCAAAUGCACUGCAUAUUUGGUGAAUUCUGCUCCAUGGUUGAACCUAAAUAGCCGCAGUACUUUGACUGUGCAAAGGUAGCAUAAUCAAUUGGCUCAUAAUUGGAGUCUGGCAUGAAAGGAAACAUAGGUAGUCACUGUCUCUCCGUUUUUAAUAGAAAUUACUUAGUAGGUGAAAAUACCUACAUUAAAGCUAGUAGACGAGAAGACCCUAGAAAUUUUGUAUAAUAUAAGUACAUGUUUAUUUUUAUUUUGUUGGGGCGACAGAAUAACAAGUAACUUAUUUUAAAUAAUUUGCAUUUACUGGUAGGUGAAAAUAAAUUACUCUAGGGAUAACAGCAUAAUUCAAUUGCUGAGUUUGUGACCUCGAUGUUGGACUAGGGCUUCUAACGAUCAGAAGUUGUUAGAGUAGGCUCUGUUCGAGCCU
rnacentral:rRNA from 1 species